UAUUUGGAAUAUUUAAAAUAUUUCGUUCUCCCCUCAUAACUUUGGCAAAUAAAGAAAAAAUGUUUUGAAAUUCUCAAUGAUUGUUAUGUAUGUUAGUGUGAUGCCCACGGGUGUGUGCUCACAAUAGAAAAAAAAGGAGCAUGCAUUUCUUUAAAUGUUUAUGGGGUUAAUGACGAUGGGUGUAGUAAUGGUGUUUCACCAGUAGGUUGCGCAUGGAGACUCUGAGCUGCCUGUUGCUCUGCGGUUUCUCAUAAGCUGAGAGAAAUUUCAGUAACACAGACUGCGUCUCCCGUGUGCUCAUUUACAUGCUGUUUUUCAGAUCCACGUAUCUAUUUGCAACAUUCGGAACGGAGAGAAGAUUCUUCCAUAUUGCAUGAACAAUAAAUAUUGCUGUUCCCUUUGCUAAUACAAGCUACAGAACCACAUAGCACAAACUGCUAUGGUUCAACAUAACGAUGCCUUUAAAUGUUCUUGAAGCUGUUCUCCAGGAGGUGAUACCAGCACAGGGAGACUCAGCCUACCUCACCUUGGCAUUGACCUGCAAGUGCUUUGAAGCCGUUGAGUCUGACCCAGUUUUCAGGAAGAAGACUCACUUUGCUUGGCUGGAUGGUGAGAUCAACUGGGGCAAAUUUUCAAAAACAUUCAAGGCAGAAAACCGGAUUCCUUUUGCGGUUGUAACGUGUUUUUCCUGUCACCGGUAAUAUAAAGACUGUGGGCUUCACUGGCAAUGGAAGACGAGGAGAGUACCCUGGUUACUACUGUGAUGGCCGACCUGGACACUACACUGACUGUCAAUACUGAAUGCAAGGAGAAUAUUAGUUGCUUUCCACAAUCUUUCACACAUUUCAGUUGUCACACAUUGUUAGUUUUUUUUUGUGACAUGCCAUUUUAAAUCAUUUCUGCUAAAGAAUAUUUGCCUUUUGACUUGUGCAGUCAUCCUUUUUCAUAAUGUGUUCUUUCAAUAUUAUUUACAUUUUUGAAUGUUCCUUUUGUUGUAGCUCAGUUGAUUUACAUUAUUUAGUUUUCAUAGAAAUGGUGCCGUUUCCACACAAAGUUACAUUGUGGCUGUAAUUUGUUGGAGAGAGUAGAACCAAUAAAGUAGUUGUAAAUAUAUUGUAACAGCGUUGUUUAACAAUAGGAUAACCUUGUUUUAAAAAUUUUAAAUGCAAGCAAAGCUAAUAACUUGCAAUAUUUCAUAUGUGUAAAUACAAUGUUUCCUAUACUUUUUGAACAAUGACUGGAAUCAAUACAAAUUUUCUUUACAAACCUGACAUACAGCUAAGUUUAUGUUUUAACAGAAUCAACUGUUGGGUUUUUUGUAAUAAAGUAGCACAUACAGAAACAUAUUGUUCGGUUACAAAGUCAUAAUACAAACAUAAGAUUAAAGGUAUCCUGACUUUAUGAAGAGAGAUGAGCCCGGCGCCGUUAGGCUGGGAUGGAGACACAUGAUCAGGUGAUUGGCUGAGCAGCUGAGAUGAAGACAGUUAUAGUUAGAAAUUACACAUUGGUUUAAUUUAUGUAACCAGUGACUUUAUUCAAAAAGGUUUUCAUAUAG